rnacentral:rRNA from 1 species
GUAUCAUGGCUCAGGAUGAACGCUAGCUACAGGCUUAACACAUGCAAGUCGAGGGGCAGCAUGAACUUAGCUUGCUAAGUUUGAUGGCGACCGGCGCACGGGUGAGUAACACGUAUCCAACCUGCCGAUGGACUCGGGGAUAGCCUUUCGAAAGAAAGAUUAAUACCCGAUGGCAUAGUUCUUCCGCAUGGUAGAACUAUUAAAGAAUUUCGGUCAUCGAUGGGGAUGCGUUCCAUUUAGG